AAACUUAAUGUAAUACAACCAUCAGCAACGGAUCUCUUGGCAUUCCAAUCGAUGAAGAACGUAGCGAAUUGCGAUAAGUAAUGUGAAUUGCAGAAUUCAGUGAAUCAUCGAGUCUUUGAACGCACCUUGCACCCUCUGGUAUUCCGGAGGGUAUGCCCGGUUGAGAGUUUUGAAUAUCUCAAUU
rnacentral:rRNA from 1 species